UCGGAAUUUGAGGACGAUGUG
rnacentral:piRNA from 1 species